rnacentral:rRNA from 1 species
AAGCUCGUAGUUGAAUUUCGGGAUUAGUACGUCGGUCGUGCCUUAGGUACGUACUGGUGUUACUGGUUCCUACCUUCCGACGAACCAUCAUGUCUUUAAUUUGGUGUGGUGGGGAAUCAGGACUGUUACUUUGAAAAAAUUAGAGUGUUUAAAGCAGGCUCGCGCUUGAAUACAUUAGCAUGGAAUAAUGAAAUAGGACGUUGAUCCUAUUUUGUUGGUUUCUAGGAUUGACGUAAUGAUUAAUAGGGAUAGUUGGG